AGAGUUUGAUCCUGGCUCAGGAUGAACGCUAGCUACAGGCUUAACACAUGCAAGUCGAGGGGCAGCAUGAUUGAAGCUUGCUUCAAUCGAUGGCGACCGGCGCACGGGUGAGUAACACGUAUCCAACCUGCCGAUAACUCGGGGAUAGCCUUUCGAAAGAAAGAUUAAUACCCGAUAGCAUAGUUUUUCCGCAUGGUUUCACUAUUAAAGAAUUUCGGUUAUCGAUGGGGAUGCGUUCCAUUAGAUAGUUGGCGGGGUAACGGCCCACCAAGUCAACGAUGGAUAGGGGUUCUGAGAGGAAGGUCCCCCACAUUGGAACUGAGACACGGUCCAAACUCCUACGGGAGGCAGCAGUGAGGAAUAUUGGUCAAUGGGCGAGAGCCUGAACCAGCCAAGUAGCGUGAAGGAUGACUGCCCUAUGGGUUGUAAACUUCUUUUAUACGGGAAUAAAGUGGAGUAUGCAUACUCCUUUGUAUGUACCGUAUGAAUAAGGAUCGGCUAACUCCGUGCCAGCAGCCGCGGUAAUACGGAGGAUCCGAGCGUUAUCCGGAUUUAUUGGGUUUAAAGGGAGCGUAGGCGGGUGCUUAAGUCAGUUGUGAAAGUUUGCGGCUCAACCGUAAAAUUGCAGUUGAUACUGGGUACCUUGAGUGCAGCAUAGGUAGGCGGAAUUCGUGGUGUAGCGGUGAAAUGCUUAGAUAUCACGAAGAACUCCGAUUGCGAAGGCAGCUUACUGGACUGUAACUGACGCUGAUGCUCGAAAGUGUGGGUAUCAAACAGGAUUAGAUACCCUGGUAGUCCACACAGUAAACGAUGAAUACUCGCUGUUGGCGAUACACAGUCAGCGGCCAAGCGAAAGCAUUAAGUAUUCCACCUGGGGAGUACGCCGGCAACGGUGAAACUCAAAGGAAUUGACGGGGGCCCGCACAAGCGGAGGAACAUGUGGUUUAAUUCGAUGAUACGCGAGGAACCUUACCCGGGCUUAAAUUGCAGACGAAUUACGUGGAAACUUGUAAGCCGCAAGGCGUCUGUGAAGGUGCUGCAUGGUUGUCGUCAGCUCGUGCCGUGAGGUGUCGGCUUAAGUGCCAUAACGAGCGCAACCCUUAUCUAUAGUUACUAUCAGGUCAUGCUGAGGACUCUAUGGAGACUGCCGUCGUAAGAUGUGAGGAAGGUGGGGAUGACGUCAAAUCAGCACGGCCCUUACGUCC
rnacentral:rRNA from 1 species